UCCUCCUCCUCUUCCUCCUCUUCUUUCGAAAUCAACCGCAUGCUCUGAUUGAACCAACCUUCGGCGAGAGGCUGCAUCUAGAGCACCAAUGGCUGCAAUAGUUCAAAGGGAGAGAGAGAGAGAGAGAUUAAGGGCGAGUGAUUCAAGAUCAAAGCUCGUCUCAAAUCUUCCCCUACAACAUCCAUCGAUUCCAAGCCAAUAUUCUAACAGGGCCUGAGGGAGAGGGAUGGAGCUGGUUCUGUCGAAUCAGCUCGUAAACUACUAAACUCUCAACGCCUACCCAACCUCUUCAUUUUUUUUUUCUUUCCAACUCCGAUUAGGGACUCAAUGUAUGAUUAGUGUGAUUGAUGACCUUCUGAUAUAUAUAUUUCUUUCCCUGUUUUCUCUUCCUAAUU